rnacentral:piRNA from 1 species
UUCUGUGAGGAGGUGAUGCCAAAGCGGA